rnacentral:piRNA from 1 species
UUGAUAGGUGCUUGAAGAUUCCUGUG